CCUACGGGAGGCAGGAGUGAGGAAUAUUGGUCAAUGGACGCAAGUCUGAACCAGCCAAGCCGCGUGCAGGAAGAAGGCUCUAUGAGUUGUAAACUGCUUUUGUACGAGGGUAAACGCAGAUACGUGUAUCUGUCUGAAAGUAUCGUACGAAUAAGGAUCGGCUAACUCCGUGCCAGCAGCCGCGGUAAUACGGAGGAUUCAAGCGUUAUCCGGAUUUAUUGGGUUUAAAGGGUGCGUAGGCGGUCGGAUAAGUUAGAGGUGAAAUCCCGGGGCUCAACUUCGGAAUUGCCUCUGAUACUGUUCGGCGAGAGAGUAGUUGCGGUAGGCGGAAUGUAUGGUGUAGCGGUGAAAUGCUUAGAGAUCAUACAGAACACCGAUUGCGAAGGCAGCUUACCAAGCUACUUCUGACGUUGAGGCACGAAAGCGUGGGGAGCAAACAGGAUUAGAUACCCCUGUAGUC
rnacentral:rRNA from 1 species